rnacentral:rRNA from 1 species
UGAGGAACAUGACCUUCGGCGGGGAUAGCCGGCCCAACGGCCGGGUAAUACCGCGUACGACCACAUGGGGACAUCCCUGAGUGGUGAAAGCAGCAAUGCGCCGAUGGAGUGCCUCGCGGCCUAUCAGCUAGUUGGUGAGGUAACGGCUCACCAAGCAACGACGGGUAGCUGGUCUGGAGAGGAUGGCCAGCCACAUUGGGACUGAGACACGGCCCAGACCUGUACCGGGGAGG